rnacentral:rRNA from 1 species
AGUGAACGCUGGCGGUAGGCCUAACACAUGCAAGUCGAACGGCAGCACAGUAAGAGCUUGCUCUUACGGGUGGCGAGUGGCGGACGGGUGAGGAAUACAUCGGAAUCUACUUUUUCGUGGGGGAUAACGUAGGGAAACUUACGCUAAUACCGCAUACGACCUACGGGUGAAAGCAGGGGAUCUUCGGACCUUGCGCGAUUGAAUGAGCCGAUGUCGGAUUAGCUAGUUGGCGGGGUAAAGGCCCACCAAGGCGACGAUCCGUAGCUGGUCUGAGAGGAUGAUCGGCCACUCUGGAACUGAGACACGGUCCAGACUCCUACGGGAGGCAGCAGUGGGGAAUAUUGGACAAUGGGCGCAAGCCUGAUCCAGCCAUACCGCGUGGGUGAAGAAGGCCUUCGGGUUGUAAAGCCCUUUUGUUGGGAAAGAAAAGCAGCAGGUUAAUACCCCGCUGUUCUGACGGUACCCAAAGAAUAAGCACCGGCUAACUUCGUG